ACACACGCUGAAUGUAAUGGAAUGUCUUUUGUGCUUAACGCGCAUAUAUACAACUUUCAACAACGGAUCUCUUGGCUCUCGCACCGAUGAAGAACGCAGCGAAAUGCGAUAAGUAAUGUGAAUUGCAGAAUUCAGUGAAUCAUCGAAUCUUUGAACGCACCUUGCACCCUUUGGUAUUCCGAAGGGUACACCCGUUUGAGUGUCAUUGUAAUCUCACUU
rnacentral:rRNA from 1 species